CCUACGGGAGGCAGCAGUGGGGAAUAUUGCACAAUGGGGGAAACCCUGAUGCAGCGACGCCGCGUGAGUGAAGAAGUAUUUCGGUAUGUAAAGCUCUAUCAGCAGGGAAGAUAAUGACGGUACCUGAGCAAGAAGCCCCGGCUAACUACGUGCCAGCAGCCGCGGUAACACGUAAGGGGCAAGCGUUAUCCGGAUUUACUGGGUAUAAAGGGAGCGUAGACGGCAUGGCAAGUCUGAAGUGAAAGCCCGGGGCUCAACCGCGGGACUGCUGUGGAAACUGGUAAGCUGGAGUGCAGGAGAGGUAAGUGGAAUUCGUAGUGUAGCGGUGAAAUGCGUAGAUAUUGGGAGGAACACCAGUGGCGAAGGCGGCUUACUGGACUGUAACUGACGUUGAGGCUCGAAAGCGUGGGGAGCAAACAGGAUUAGAUACCCCUGUAGUC
rnacentral:rRNA from 1 species